ensembl:lncRNA
UGUUCCUGGAAAGGGAUCCUCAAGCAACUAAGGAACCAAGAAAGGGUUAACUUUGAGCCCCACAGUGACUUCAAUCAUUGGCUCAGGGCUGUGUCAGUCAGCGUUCUGGGGGUGGGGUUUGCGGGGCCGCUUUCGGACUGCCCAGCGCCCCUCACUUGCCCCUCGACCCCGCACAUCAUUUCACUUCUGGGCUGCGCCCACACCCCCCCAUCUUGGCGGAGAGAGCUUCCCGGGCCAUGAAGGAGGAGCGGAUCCGGGCAUCCUGGGCUUCCCCACUCCAGCUGCCUGGCUUCCUGAUAGAUGUCUUGCAGAUUGCGGGCAGACUUAACUCCUUGCUUGCCAGCCUGGUGGACUCCGAGGUGGUGACGCCGAGAGGAAGGGAAGAAGGGAGGGACUCCCGACCUCACUCCCACCCACAGUUUAACACGUUGUGGUCCGGAACGCAAUCUCAGAACUUGGGCUGGUCAGAGCCCUGGAAGGCUGCCUGGUACUCAAGGAGCAACACGAAACCGGGCACCUGAGAGCAGCGAAUCCUUCUCUGACCAACGCCACCUACUUAUUCAUUCAACAAAUAUUUAUUGAGGACCUACUAUGUGCCAGGCUCUGGACUAGACAAUAGGUAUAUUUUGGUGAACAAGACAGAUGUGGUCCUUGCCCUCACAGACAACAAGUGAACAGUUGACUUCAAGUUGGCAUCAUGAAGGCUUGGGGAGCACUUCAGAGAUGCCUAUCCUGGACUUGGGAGUCUUGGAAAGUUUCCUGCAGGGAGCCACAUCUGAGCUGAGCCUCACUGCAGCCUAAGACUCUAGCUUGUUGCUACAAGCGAAGACUUGAAAAGGGAGGGAAGCUGUAGAAAGGGAGAUGUGAACAGAAGUGGGCAGGGACAAAUGGAGAGCAAGAGACAAACCAAGAAGCUGAGAGAGAAAGAGAAAGAUCUGCUCCUCCCACCCCAGCUCACCACAGCGCCGUCAUCCGCUCAGCUGCCCAAGCCAGGACCUGGGAAGCACCCUGAACUCCGCUCUCCACCCGCCUCCAUAACCCUCCCAGCCAAACCAUCACCCCAGAAUCUCCUCUUUUAUCACCUUUUGCUUGGCUCUUAUCUCAACAGCAUGUCAAGAGACAUCUAAAACGUCUCCCAGCUGUUUACCCACCACAAUCUCUACAUCACAGCAAAAAUCACCUUUAUAAGAUACUAACUGGAUCAUGACACUCCAGUUCAAAACUCUUCAAGGGCUUCCUUUUAUCCUUAGGAUAAAAAUUUCAAUUCCUUAAAGCGGCUUACAAAGCUCUUCAUCUGGUCCGAGUUACUUCUCCAGUGACUUCCCAAAUCCCUCUCUAACCCUCCAGUGGCCCCUCCUCUACCCUGGUCCCUUGCAGCUCUCUCAGCCUCGAACAACCUCCCCUCUCCACCUCUCCCUCCGCCUUCACCCUUCUAACUCCUACUCAACUUCUAGGUCCUCGCUUAUUCACCACUUCCUCCAGGAAGCCCUUUGGGACUGCCCAAGCCCAUGUCAGUUACCCCUUUGGUGAGGAGCCUCUUUGGCAAGCCAUUUAACUUCUCUGACCUUCAUUUCCUCAUUAAGAAAAUGAAGAUAAUAACAGUACUCACUUCACAGAAGUUGUUAUG